CCUACGGGUGGCAGCAGUGAGGAAUAUUGGUCAAUGGACGAGAGUCUGAACCAGCCAAGUAGCGUGAAGGAUGACUGCCCUAUGGGUUGUAAACUUCUUUUAUAUGGGAAUAAAACGUUCCACGUGUGGGAUUUUGUAUGUACCCUAUGACUACGGAUCGGCUAACUCCGUGCCAGCAGCCGCGGUAAUACGGAGGAUCCGAGCGUUAUCCGGAUUUAUUGGGUUUAAAGGGAGCGUAGGGGGAUUGUUAAGUCAGUUGUGAAAGUUUGCGGCUCAACCGUAAAAUUGCAGUUGAAACUGGCAGUCUUGAGUACAGUAGAGGUGGGCGGAAUUCGUGGUGUAGCGGUGAAAUGCUUAGAUAUCACGAAGAACUCCGAUUGCGAAGGCAGUUCACUGGACUGCAACUGACACUGAGGCUCGAAAGUGUGGGUAUCAAACAGGAGUAGAUACCCCUGUAGUC
rnacentral:rRNA from 1 species